CUGGGAAUACUGAAAUGCUUUCAUUGCCUUGGGUCCAGUACUACUUCAUGCUGGUAACUAUUUGUUCUGUCGCACAUAAUGUCACACACACUCUCCCACAUAACACACACUUUGUCAUGCGUGAAGACAUGAGCUCACACACUAAUCCAUCCCCCAGGUCCAAGCCUUGCAUAGCUUGCACUGGGCACUCACACUCACAAUGGAUGGCCUGGGGGGGAGGGGGAGUAGAGACAGUUUGUGGAGGAGCCCCCCUUCCCUCCCUCCUCCUGAAUCUGCAAAACAAAGCCCCAGAGCUUGGCAUGGGGGAGGGAGGGAGGGAGCUCUGCAGGGGGCAGCUAUACAUGUGUAUAUGAAAGCCCAGGCUGGGGACUUCACAUCACAAUAUGUCAAAGCUUAGUAAAUACAUGAAAACAUGG